CACACGCUCAUACAACACAACUCAUACACGCUCAGUUCAGAGCACUCAAUUUCAAAAAUAGAAGCAAUGUGUCAAAAAUGAGUUUUUAUUUGAGUAGAUCGAGCUCAACUGGCGAGUAACCAUUCAAUUUUCAAUAUUUCGAGUGAAAAAAAUAGUUAACUUCAAAAGAAAGUGAACGAACUUUGUCGUUGACUAAAAGUUUUAUGAAAGAUCAAGCCGGAAAUCCCGUAGUUGUAGUGCCGACUUGGAUCAUUCACAAAAUUAUAAGUUUCUGCCAUUACUAUGAGGCGCCGAUAGACAUGGAAUACGUGCAGAGAAACCUUUAAGGAUUAUAUUUCCAGGCAUUGCUAGCGCCUGGAGGUUCAGGUUGUGCAUGGUGUCAUGAGAUCAUGAGAAUACACGUGGACACUUCAUGAUCAGACAAAAUUUCAUAUAUGAUUGCAAUAUAUACAUAGCACCGAGUUGAAGUAAAAAUAAUCAAAAAUGUUUGUGGUCGAAAAACCGGAUUUCAGAAUCACCAGAUCGGAUCACCAAGUAGAUAUUGUUUGCUGUGAGCUGAAAAUGUUUGGUCCACUGAAUCCGGAAUCACCGGAACCUAUUAGACAGCGUCCACCUGGAUCUGGGUGACUUCAAAUGAGAUUGUAUUGUUAACAGAUCUCAAAGAGCGAAAUUUUACCUGUGCCACUGACAAUCAACGACGGUAGUCAGCAUUGUAAGGAAAAUCAAAGAGGAUAAUUAUUUUCCUAUUCACAUUGUUUUAACGCUACCGGUCAAAUAAAGACGUGUUUUCUAUUCCGUUCAUCCCA